rfam:Myotis davidii contig40690, whole genome shotgun sequence.
CAUGGGGCGGAGUGGGGGUCCCUCAGCCUGGACUGUGAGAGGGAACAGGCCAGGGUGGGGGACCCCACUGGUGCAUG